rnacentral:rRNA from 1 species
AUGGAGGCAUGGUGGACCCCGGCCCUUGCCGGGGGGAAGGAUCUUAUUACAUUUUUAGGUGUUUUUAUGAGUUUGUUUUGGGUUUGUGUCAUGCUCAAGAAGAUCAAGCGGUUGCAGCUUCUUGAAGAUGAAAUAAGGUUUUCCUCAUCUAGUCUUUCGGUGAUUCAUUUAGCGCCGUCAGAGGUCAUGUGGAGGCGUGUCUCCAGCGGAUCUCACAGGAUUUGGUUGGCGCUGGUCUUCGGUGGAUUUGUUUGGAUCGAGUCUUUGUUCGUGUGUCUAUAUGUUAGAUUCUUUCGAUCUAUACUUCUUUUCAUGGGUGAUGGUUGUUGA